AUUUACAGAAAAGUUGCGAAGACAGUGCAGAGCCUUCCCACACGCCCCUCGAGCCAGUUUCCCUCGCUGGGGAUACAUUUGUCACAGAAAUUGUGGUCCACCCGUACAAUGAAAUAUGGUGCAGCCCAUACAAGUAAAAUUGCAGCUUCUCUGGAGCCUGCACCUUCGCUCAGAUCGUUAUUCGACUGUGAAGAGGCUGCGGACCGCACACGCGGAAACGUGGCGUGGCCUUGAUCCCAGGCUCUUUGUUCCCCAUCUUCCUUGGCCAACUUCGCUGAUGACCCGUGGCAGGGAUACGGCUGUGCUCGCUUUGGUUCACCCUACUCUGAUUGCCUCCUAUCCGUGGGCUUAGUCGCACUCUUACUGAAAAUUUUCAUUUGGUCCAUUUUAGGAUGGCUCCCAACGAACCUCUAACAGCUGUGUCCAGGAUGUAUUGUGAAAACAACCCAAAAUGGUACCCAGUUUGUUCUGUUUAGACAACUGGGAGGAGAUGGGAAGCAAAAUGUUUGAAAGUCAUUUCAUUUAAAUGUCCUUAUUAAAAAAUUAUGUAUUAUUUUAAUAUAUACAUAUGUAUAUUAUGUAUUAAAUUUGUAUUUUAUGUACUAAGAUACAUCUGUAAAUAUGUGUAUAUACAUAUAUAUGAACAAAGGAUUUGCUUCAAGCGAUAUAUUUGGGUGUUAUGGGAUUUUUGUGUGAGUAUGGGCUCCGACAUCCUUCCGUGGACCAACUUCUGUAGCCCCAUUUGAAACACUUACUGGAUAUUUUUGCUGGUUAUGAGAGUGAUACAAGCACUUUAUUAAAAAAUUAGGAAAAGGGCCAUAGAAAGAAGGAAACACCCACCUCUGGUCCAACCACUCCUACAUUACAGCUGUAGCGUUG
rnacentral:lncRNA from 1 species